rnacentral:rRNA from 1 species
AUUGAACGCUAGCGGGAUGCUUUACACAUGCAAGUCGAACGGCAGCGCGAACUUCGGUUUGGCGGCGAGUGGCGAACGGGUGAGUAAUAUAUCGGAAGCUACCGAUAGAGGGGGAUACCAGUUGGAAACGACUGUUAAUACCGCAUAAUGUCUACGGGACCAAAGUGUGGGACCUUCGGGCCACAUGCUAUCGGAUGCGCCUACGUGGGAUUAGCUAGUUGGUGGGGUAAUGGCUCACCAAGGCGACGAUCAGUAGCNGGUUUGAGAGAACGACCAGCCACACUGGAACUGAGACACGGUCCAGACUCCUACGGGAGGCAGCAGUGGGGAAUUUUGGACAAUGGGGGCAACCCUGAUCCAGCCAUUCCGCGUGAGUGAAGAAGGCCUUCGGGUUGUAAAGCUCUUUCGCAAGGGAAGAAAACUUAUGAUCGAAUAAAUCAUGAGGUUGACGGUACCUUGAUAAGAAGCACCGGCUAACUACGUG